GAGUUUGAUCUUGGCUCAGAUUGAACGCUGGCGGCAUGCCUUACACAUGCAAGUCGAACGGCAGCAUGAUCUAGCUUGCUAGAUUGAUGGCGAGUGGCGAACGGGUGAGUAAUACAUCGGAACGUGCCCUGUAGUGGGGGAUAACUAGUCGAAAGAUUAGCUAAUACCGCAUACGACCUGAGGGUGAAAGUGGGGGACCGCAAGGCCUCAUGCUAUAGGAGCGGCCGAUGUCUGAUUAGCUAGUUGGUGGGGUAAAGGCCCACCAAGGCGACGAUCAGUAGCUGGUCUGAGAGGACGAUCAGCCACACUGGGACUGAGACACGGCCCAGACUCCUACGGGAGGCAGCAGUGGGGAUUUGGACAAUGGCGAAGCCUGAUCCAGCAAUGCCGCGUGUGUGAAGAAGGCCU
rnacentral:rRNA from 1 species